GAUGAACGCUGGCGGCGUGCCUAAUACAUGCAAGUCGAGCGAACGGACGAGAAGCUUGCUUUUCUGAUGUUAGCGGCGGACGGGUGAGUAACACGUGGAUAACCUACCUAUAAGACUGGGAUAACUUCGGGAAACCGGAGCUAAUACCGGAUAAUAUUUUGAACCGCAUGGUUCAAAAGUGAAAGACGGUCUUGCUGUCACUUAUAGAUGGAUCCGCGCUGCAUUAGCUAGUUGGUAAGGUAACGGCUUACCAAGGCAACGAUGCAUAGCCGACCUGAGAGGGUGAUCGGCCACACUGGAACUGAGACACGGUCCAGACUCCUACGGGAGGCAGCAGUAGGGAAUCUUCCGCAAUGGGCGAAAGCCUGACGGAGCAACGCCGCGUGAGUGAUGAAGGUCUACGGAUCGUAAAACUCUGUUAUUAGGGAAGAACAUAUGUGUAAGUAACUGUGCACAUCUUGACGGUACCUAAUCAGAAAGCCACGGCUAACUACGUG
rnacentral:rRNA from 1 species